UACGUAGGGUGCAAGCGUUGUCCGGAAUUAUUGGGCGUAAAGAGCUUGUAGGCGGUUUGUCGCGUCUGCUGUGAAAUUUCGGGGCUCAACCCCGAACUUGCAGUGGGUACGGGCAGACUAGAGUGUGGUAGGGGAGACUGGAAUUCCUGGUGUAGCGGUGAAAUGCGCAGAUAUCAGAGGAACACCGAUGGCGAAGGCAGGUCUCUGGGCCAUAACUGACGCUGAGAAGCGAAAGCAUUGGGGAGCGAACAGG
rnacentral:rRNA from 1 species